UACAGAGGGUGCGAGCGUUGUUCGGAAUUACUGGGCGUAAAGGGCGCGUAGGCGGCCUUCUAAGUCGAACGUGAAAUCCCCGGGCUCAACCCGGGAACUGCGUCCGAGACUGAAAGGCUUGAAUCCGGGAGAGGGAUGUGGAAUUCCAGGUGUAGCGGUGAAAUGCGUAGAUAUCUGGAGGAACAUCGGUGGCGAAGGCGGCAUCCUGGACCGGUAUUGACACUGAGGCACGAAGGCCAGGGGAGCAAACGGG
rnacentral:rRNA from 1 species